CACCUCUCAAGCGUAGCUUGGUAUUGGGUUCUCGUCCCCUGGGCGUGCCCGAAAAGCAUUGGCGGUCCGGUGUGGCUUUAAGCGUAGUAAAUUAUCUCCCGCUUUGAAAGCUCGCGAUGUGGCUGCCAGACAACCCCACAUUAUAUCAAC
rnacentral:misc_RNA from 1 species